AUUGAACGCUGGCGGCAGGCCUAACACAUGCAAGUCGAACGAGUGGCGGACGGGUGAGUAAUGUCUGGGAAUCUGCCUGAUGGAGGGGGAUAACUACUGGAAACGGUAGCUAAUACCGCAUACUAUCAGAUGAGCCCAGAUGGGAUUAGCUGGUUGGUGGGGUAAAGGCUCACCUAGGCGACGAUCCCUAGCUGGUCUGAGAGGAUGACCAGCCAAACUGGAACUGAGAAACGGUCCAGACUCUUACGGGAGGCAGCAGUGGGGAAGAUUGCACAAUGGGAGCAAGCCUGAUGCAGCCAUGCCGCGUGUAUGAAGAAGGCCUUCGGGUUGUAAAGUACUUUCAGCGGGGAGGCGGUACCCGCAGAAGAAGCACCGGCUAACUCCGUGCCAGCAGCCGCGGUAAUUC
rnacentral:rRNA from 1 species